UGUACAGAUGGAACAUUGGCUGUGGAUUCUUCUUGCUGCUCUUUUCUUUGAGUGUAAAGGAGAAGACAAAGUGAUCCAACCAGGAGGAGAAGUCAUUGCUGCUGAAGGAGACUCUGUCACACUCAACUGUACCUUUCAGACCAGUUUCACAGUGACCUCAUAUUUGUUCUGGUACAAACAAGAAGUGAACAGUUACCCAAAGUACAUGUUGAAGCGUUACUCAUCAACAGAAGAUAAUGCUCCAGAGUUCAAGAUAAAAAAAUUUAAUGCUGAACUCAAAGGCAAAUCAGUUCCUCUGACGAUCCAUAAUCUUCAUGUGUCAGACUCUGCUGUGUACUACUGUGCUCUGCAGCCCACAGUGACAGGAAACAGCAAAACUCUGUACAAAAACCUGCAGAACAAUUCUCCUCACUAUCUGAAAAAAAACAAAACGCUUGGGGAAUACCUGCUACUACCACUGGAGGGCACUGUGCAACCGCCAGUUACAUUUGAUGCACAAUGCUUAAAUAACAGCCACUUGAUGGCGCUCUCAGGCAGAAAAAAGAUCCAUGUAAACAAGCAGCAGUAAUGUAUCCUUCCACAUGUACUGUAUUUGACACUUUCAUUUCCGUCUCAGCUGGUUAAUAAGGACUAGAGGACUCAAUCUGUUUUACCUUUCUGCAGAUAAAGAAACAGACUGAGAUAAUCAUCUGUGCUCCAGAGAAACUUAGAGAAAGUAUUAGUUGUAAGUAUUUUUUUUUCUAAAACCUACAAAUCAAGUUAGGAAUAUUUUCUGUAAUCCUUGU